AAACGCCAUUUGGUAUCUUACACCUGGUCAUUUUUUGUGAUUCUGUGUCUCAAAACAUGGCAGAAAAUGAGGGGGAAUGGAACUUUGCGACACUGGCUGCUCCUAAUGAACCUCUAGCUACUAUAUACCCAUUUACAUUA
rfam:Triticum aestivum genome assembly, contig: Triticum_aestivum_CS42_TGACv1_scaffold_526647_6DL